AAUUUAAUGUCUCUGACGCAUUUAUUAAUUGGUUUAUCGCACUUUUAGUAGUUUUUAACAAAACCGUUAUAUAGAGAGUAGGCGGAGUUAUCAUCCGAUUUUAUCCAUUUUCACACUGUCGAAGGAAGUUACGAAAAUAUUCUGUGCAAAUUCGGGUUACAUAGCUUAAAUGGUUUAGAAGAAAUAUACAUUUAACUUAUUAGAAGGCGGGGCGACGCUCACUAUUGAAAAAAUGUUCGACCAUAGAUGCCCCUCCCCAAUAUAAUCUUUUGUUCCAAAUUACCUUAAUUUAGUGCUUAGUUAUUGCGUUUUAUAAAUUUUCGAUCAAUGGCGUUUUAUGGGCGUGACAGUUUUCCGAUUACGUCUAUUAAACUUCUUAUGGUAGAUCAGCAGAAUGAGCGCAACAUUCUAAAGGAGCAUAGAGAUAAAAUAUCCAAAAUGAUAAAAAAAGACCGCGUAGAAAUAAUGGAUAUGUUCAACUCAAUGGUGGCAACAAUGCAACACCAGGCACCAUCAUCUUCGAAUGAUAUAUACUUAUGUAUAUAUACGUACCAUCUAUAGCACCAAUAAUAUUAAAUAAUCAAAUUUCCCAGUGGCUAGUUAAGUUACGCCUACCCCUCCAUGCACACCACUGAGCGCCAACAGACCAUAUCAACACAAUCCACAAAAAGACUUCACCCACUAACACACACAAACAUACAACACCCCUUUUUCUUUUGGACAUCCAACCGACCACAACGUUCGUCAUAGUAUCACCGAGUAGUGAACAAAAUGAAUAAAUCUUUUUUUAAUUUUAAAAUCGUUUUUCUUUCCAAAAGUUAAAUACCGCGUCAAUUACCCGAUGAAAAUAUUCGUAUACGGUGCUUUUAUGAACCCCAAAAACAUCUCCUACUACUCGGUACUCAGGACAAGCAUCUAAUUUAUAAACACACUUAUGUAUAUUGCCACUUGUUUCGCAAACGGAAGAGGUGGUAUUGGUAAUGAAUCCAACUUGGUGCAAAGCGUCUGCAACGCAGUAGCAUUCAUACGAAAAUGUUCAUAAAAAAUUUCCUUAUUCUGUGGUUUUUGUAAGUUCCACCAGUGGUUUUGAUCCCGUGACCGCUUCAUAAAUCGUGUUGGUACAGAAAAUUGCGUUAACAAAAUAUUUUUUUUAUUUUUUUUAUUUUAUUAAAGGAAAUACAAUUAUAAAUAAUUAUACUACCUAUAAAAUAUAACAGCACUAGCGACAAGGCCUUCAGCUGUGGGCUUAAUUUUA